CACCGCGGUUAUACGAGAGGCUCAAGUUGACAAACCCUCGGCGUAAAGAGUGGUUAAAGACCCCCCCCCUACUAAAGCCGAACAUUCUCAUAGCUGUUAUACGCUCUCGAGAACAAGAAGCCCAAUUACGAAAGUAGCUUUAUUUUACUUGACCCCCCGAAAGCUGNGAAA
rnacentral:rRNA from 1 species